ACAACAAAUAUCAAAUCACAUAUAAUCAAUUAUCAUCUUCAUUACAAUUAUUUAAAAUAUUUUACACCUAGUUCCAAAUAUCAAUCUAACAACUUCUCAAAAUCUAAUAACAAGACAUGACAACGCCAUCAAGGUUAAUUGUCAUCAAAUUUUUACAGUCUUCUAACAGUAAACAAAGAUUACACUUAACCACAAUAGUUGCUUUUCUGCUCAAUUGGUGGCCCUUUAUCAAUGGCCGGGAUGCUUGUAAAUUCUUCUGCAACUUAGACAUAGAAGCAUAUUCUUCUUCAUCCAUGGCUGAUUGAUCUGCUAUACUUCUGCAAAUGUAAAUCAGUUUGGAAUAACUGAGUAAUUCCUUAUUAAUGUUUUUUAUGCAAAAGCAACAAGUUUCUUGAAAAUGUGACCAGUGAAUAAAUUUUCAUGGUAUGCAUAUUAAUUACAUCAUUUCUAUGGAAAAGAAACAGUGAAAGAUACAGAAACAAACACAAUACAACAACAGGAAAUCAAUUUUUCAUCUAAGAACUCAAGAAAUUAGGAGACUGGGAGUUAAAUUUACACAGCCACGAAUUCAAACUAACUCAAACCAAUGAAAUGGAGUAAGGUGACACAUAGGCAAAAGAUUAGUCAUAAUCUGUAAUGUUGUAACCAAAUGAUGCCGCCACCUAUUAUGGUUUAGGAUCAAUACAAAAUGAUAAACCUAAAGACUGAAACUCUAUUUACAUUAUCUUUGCUUUAUUUAAGGCUUUAUUUGUUGAUAUAAAUUCACCCCAACUGGCUUUGAGCACAGAAUAACGAGAAUAAUGAGACCACGAAGCUAGAGAUGAUGCAUCAAAAUAAUAGAAUACUCACAGAAGAGUAUCUUAAGCUUGGAGAGUAUUGAAGCAGCCUAGAUACAAGAUCCACAGUUUCAGUGGAAGUCCAUUUGUGAAAACUCUGCAAGGAAUAAAAAUAUAAUCAACAUACAAACAGUUAAAGCAUUGCAACCACAGUGAUCAACAGAUACAUAUUAUUUGCUUAAGUUUUAAAUUUAUAAUUCAAACAUUAUACAAAGAAAUAUGAUCAAUCAGAAUCUAAACAUUAUACAAUGAAUGAUGAAGGAAAUAAGUUUUAAAUUUAUAAUUCAUAUUUCCACCAAAAGCUUCAAACAGGGUGCUUGAUAUUCAUCAAUGUCCAAUACCAAAGACCAACUUUUAAUCAACAUAAACAUAAAACUAACCUCAAGGAGCAGCUGGACUUCAAUGAAGUGUGGCGGCAACCAGAGAAAGUUUCAGAGCAGCGGCGAAGUCGGAGUACAGCAACGCAAACCAGAGGCUGAAAGUAGUGGCGAAGCACGGCGCUAGGGCGACCGGACAAAGGCUCAGAGCAGCUAGCGUGGAUGUUCGUGGACUUCAAUGAGGUGUAGCGGCGACCGGAGAAGGCCUUAGAGCCGUUGAGAAGCCGGAGUACAGCAAGGCAAACCAGACACUCAAAGCAGCGGCGAAGCACGGCGCUAGGGCGACCGAAUAAAGGCUCAGAGCAGCGUCGAUGUUCGUUGCUUGUUGACCGGCGGAGAUUGGGGCGGCGGCGGCGGCAUGGACACCAAGGGUUUUAAGAUUUGGGGGGGGGGCGAUUGAGAACGUGGUUCGUGGCUGCGUCGACCGUUGAGACGACGAGGAAUAGAUAUGUAGGCGGCGCAAGGAACGAGUGGUGUUGGUCGGCGCCGGAGAGGUCGACUGAAAGAGAUGGUAGGCGGCUGAAACUUUGGGAAGAAGAUGGUAGACGGCUUCAGGGGUUUAGGGCUUCUAACGUAUUUCAACAUUCAAAGUUGAAU
rnacentral:lncRNA from 1 species